ACCUUGCUGACGAGUGCCAAACAGUACGAAACCUGAGUCCAAGUU
rfam:Schistosoma mansoni, Puerto Rico, WGS project CABG01000000 data, contig: 0258